rnacentral:rRNA from 1 species
UACGUAGGGCGCAAGCGUUAUCCGGAAUUAUUGGGCGUAAAGAGCUCGUAGGCGGUUUGUCGCGUCUGCCGUGAAAAGCCCGGAGCUUAACUCCGGAGGGUCGGUGGAUACUGCCAGUCUUGAAGGUGCUAGGGGGAGAUGGAAUUACCGGUGUAGCGGUGAAAUGCGUAGAUAUCGGUAGGAACACCAGUGGCGAAGGCAGUCUCCUGGGGCAUUCU